UACGUAGGCAGCAAGCGUUGUUCGGAAUUACUGGGCGUAAAGAGUGUGUAGGCGGUGCUCUAAGUCUGUUGUGAAAUCUCCCGGCUUAACCGGGAGGGUGCGGCGGAAACUGGAGUGCUUGAGGGUGGGAGAGGUAAGCGGAAUUCCUGGUGUAGCGGUGAAAUGCGUAGAUAUCAGGAGGAACACCUGUGGUGUAGACAGCUUACUGGACCACUUCUGACGCUGAGACACGAAAUCGUGGGUAGCAAACAGG
rnacentral:rRNA from 1 species